GGAGGGUGCAAGCGUUAUCCGGAUUCACUGGGUUUAAAGGGUGCGUAGGCGGGCUAGUAAGUCUGUUGUGAAAUCUCCGGGCUUAACCCGGAAAUUGCGGUGGAUACUAUUAGUCUUGAAUACUGUGGAGGUUAGCGGAAUAUGUCAUGUAGCGGUGAAAUGCAUAGAUAUGACAUAGAACACCAAUUGCGAAGGCAGCUGGCUACACAGAUAUUGACGCUGAGGCACGAAAGCGUGGGGAUCAAACAGGAUUAGAUACCCUGGUAGUCCACGCCCUAAACGAUGAUUACUCGACAUUUGCGAUACACAGCAAGUGUCUGAGCGAAAGCAUUAAGUAAUCCACCUGGGAAGUACGACCGCAAGGUUGAA
rnacentral:rRNA from 1 species